AACGGUUAUCAAUGGAAUUACAAAUUUCCACUACAAUCUUCUUAUCCACUUCUUCUUCUUCUUCUUCUUCUUCUUCUUCAGAUCUCUCUCCUUUACCCUAAAUACCCUACCCAAUUUCCUAUCAAUUGAGCUCAUCGGCAACAUUGAUCGAGGGAUCCAUCAUCUCCACUCAGCCCAACUCAGCAACUUCUCGACUGCGCUCGGAGAGCUGUGGCGAGGGAUUCCAAGGAUGAGUUGAUGAAAGUGAGGAAGGGGAUCGUGGACUUCCACGGGGAGAUGCUCCUCCUCGACAACUACAGCGCCCUUAACUUUACAGGUAAGGGAACACUCCGUUCUUUAAAUUCUUCGUGGCUGUUGGAUCGCAUUGAAGUUCCUGACAAUUAGGUGUGCUAACUAGUUACUCAGGUUCGAGUAAGAUCCGUGAAUGAGUUAUUCUCUAAUCUGAUAUGCAUCAUGAUGUACAACAUUGUUGCUUUUAUAGCAAUUAUGUAAGCUGUGUUCACUUUACUCAUCAUGUAUGUCGCUGCCGGGGUCUGCUUCAACCCCUUUUCUAUCGACUUGAUUACUAGCUGGAUUGGAAUAUCAUUUAGUUUUAGACCUUAGAAAUCGAUUCGGUGUAAAUUGCGAUGUCAGGCUGGCAUACAAGAGCCGGGUACGUCCUCACUCCUCAGAGCUAGAUCGUUGUGCAAAUUGGAUUGCUGAUUGCGAUUUGCGGUCUUUUAGUAUUUAAGGUUCUUUCACUGGUUAUUUUUCUAGUGUUGAAUUUAAUCAUGGCAUCAAAUUUUUGCCUUUUUUUGCUUUCUGUUGGCUGUUAUUUGAAAAUAAAUCUGUAAGACGAUUUAUUUACCGACAAGCACUAAUACAGUCAAAUGAUAUUGUGGGUUAAGAGUAGUGUUUUGGUUUUCCAGUUGUAUUAUGGGAAACAUAUGUGCCAAAUCACCAAUGCAAUUUUCUGUUAAAUGGGCGAGCUUUGAACAGCUUGAGUUGCUUUGUAAUUAGAGUCAAAACAAUAAAGAAUACUUUGCAGAAUUGCAAAAAAAAUUGGAAAAUAUUUCUAAAAUGUAAAAAAAGAAGAAGAUAAUUUAGAGAACUGGGAUGAAUAAUAUUUUGAAGAUAAUAGAUCAAUGUACAUUUGGAAUGCUACUAAAUAUUAAGAACUGUUAUUAUGUAUGUGAUAAUAACAAUUGACAGCUAGUGAAGAUUAUUCAUGCUGGAUGAAUCCAACUAUCCUGAUGUUACUUCUAACAUUCAAUGGAGUUGGUUAAGAUACUGAAGAAGUACGACAAGAGAACAGGGGCACUAAUCUGGCUGUCCUUCAUCCAAAAGGAACUGCAGCAACUGUUCUUCACUAUCGAUCUGCUUUACGAGCUUGUGAAAGAUUGUGAGGCCAUGCUAGACCACCUCUUCCCAAUAUAUGAACCAUCCAUAUCUGGUGGUGAGGAUAGAGAUGGAGAAGGUGAUAGAGAGCAUAAAAUUUUAAACCAUGGACCCUCUUUGGGUAGAGGUAGGAUUAGAGAGCAAGAGAAAAUUGAAUACAUGGAAAGCUUGUAUAUGAACAGUACUAUUGCUGCAUUUCGGGCUUCGAAAGAGAUUAGGAGUGGGUGUUCUACAGUUAGGGCAUGUUUGGUUCACCUAUUUUAGACUAUGGAAUCAGAAUAGAAUUCAUUGAUUUUGAUAAUUGUCGUUUGUUUUAUAGGAAUCAGAUUUCGAUUCUCAUUCCACUCCGGAAUGGGAAUGGCCAAAUCCAUUUAUGGCCCAAUCCGACCUUGAAUCCCGGAUUGGUCUAUUCCAAAGUAAACUAUCCAAAAUCCUCUUUAACUAAUACCCACCUUCUCCCCCUUCAUCAUUUUCCUCUCUCUUAAACAAAACCCUCUUUCAAAAAUUCUAAAAUUUUCAUUUUGAUUUCCAUUCCAAUAAUAAACCAAACAUUUUUGUAUGAUUCGUCAUUUCAUUUUCUAUUCCAAAACAAUCCAAUUUCAUUUUCCAUUCCUAUUCCAAUCAUGAACCAAACAUGCCGUUAGUGUGUUUUCGCUACCUCCCCUACAGAGGAGCAGGCUGGUGUAGUGCUGAGUGGUGGAAUGAGAUCCCUGUUCUUGAACAAGCAGCUAAGUGACUCUUGAUUUGUUUAAUUUGUCUUUACUUUCUUGUCUUUUUUUUUUCACAGGUUGCAUGCUUACAGUCGCUAGUUUCCAGAUUUCUUACAGCUGUAGAGUCAGGAGGGUGUGAAAAAUCUGAACAUAAAUGUUCAAAUCUAAGAGCUUCUUCUUGUCCUUGGAUAUUUCAUUCUAUAACUUGUUUGCAUAUGCUACUAAUUGGGAACUUUAGCAUAUCUGAGAUGUAAUUUCCUUCUGUAACUUCUAUUCCAUACAAAGAAGUUUGAUGAACUUCAUUUAUUUUUGCUGUUCAUGACGAUAUUCACUCUUUUGAUAUGGAAGCAAAUGGUGUACAUAAUAAUUGAUGGUUAGUUACGGAGUUCAACUCAAUCUCCAUUCAGCACCUCGUGUCAAGCUGGAUCAAUUCAAAUUAGUAACCGCAUGCUUAUGAUUGAUUUAGUUGUGUUCUUAUUGCAUUUGUUAGUUCAAACAUUACUAGUCCAUUGAUGGCGCUUAUGAAGAUGCUUCAUUAUUUUGUUGUAUGUGUUAUAUUUAGUGUAUCUACCAUUGAACUGUAAGAAUUGCCGUCUAAGGAGCUGUUUGGGAAAGCAUAAUUUUCUUGGUGAACAGCUAAGAAAUUUCUGCAUGCUCUUGACCUAGCCUUUCCGUACGCCUGAUAACUAAAUUACUAAACUGAAAACCCCCAUAAUUCAUCUAAGUUGGUCUUCUUCUACUCCUUUUGUCUUUGGACUGCACUAUCUUACAUCACAAGCUUUUGUUGGCUCUUGGCUGACGUCUAUACCAAUUUGAUAUGCAUACAAUAUUUAUUAAACAUUUCUUUCUUAAUAGUUUUAUAUUCCAACUCCUGCUGUAUGAAUAGCUCUAUGCGCUGUCAACCAGCAUAAAUUCCUAACUAUGAUCUCAGUCUGACCCCACACAGGUUCUGACCUUCGUGAAGAUAAUCAAUUAUCUAAGAUAACCUGAACUCCAAUUUCUUAGAGAAAUGGACAUGUAUUGUAAGAUACUUCAUGUUCUGAUGCCCGUCGGUGCAAUGUUGUGUAUUUCCCAGUUCUCUUGAUCCUUCUUAAUCUGAAUUGGUGCUUCAACUCAUCAGGGAACACCUAUUGUUGUAGGGAAUUCCUACUCUGUGUGGUGUUGUUGUAUUGUAUUCAUCAUCCUUUUUAGUUGUCUUAUGAAAUACAAAUUCUGCUAGUUAAUUACAAUAUACACCGACCGUCCCUAGCGCAAGUGGCAAAGGACUUCGUGGUUGGUAUCCGAGGUCCCAAAUUCGAAUCCUAGUUGAUUCAUAUUUCCAACUUAGUUUAUUUCUAAAUGAAAUAAACGAAGCGGGUAGCAUGCUACCUAUUACAACAUACCACAUAUCUAGGUUGCAUAAAGUUUGAACAAGCCUAGAAUAUGGGAUCAGCAGCUGGCCUGUUAGCUGAUGGACGUCAAAUUGCAGGCGCCUUCCUCAGUUCCUUCUUUGUUUUUCCAAGCAAAGUGGACUUUGCAAAUUAAAAACAAAGUUGACUUUGCAAAUUGAAAACAAAGUUGACUUUUGUCUCGAUAAGGUGCAUUAUUCUUGUAUAAGUACUGCCAAGUUUUUUUUUUUUUUUUUUUUUAAAUGCUACGAGUAUACUUUACCCUUGUACUUGCUGUGCUUGCCAUGUCCUCGUCUAAAUUCGUUGCCGAGAGAUCUUGGCGAAGUGAGCUACAAGGUCCAUGCCCUCCGCCUUUGAUGAUCCACGACAACUCCCACAGGAUCCAAAAGCCUCAAAAGAAGCGGCAACCGGUCAUCAUCUACGUGGUGUCACCAAAGGUGAUUCAUGUAGAGGCCAGCGAGUUCAUGGCGCUUGGCCAGCGCCUUACUGGCCCAGAUUCUGCUACCUCUUCUACCACAAAUGAUACUGCCGCUACUCCUUCAUCGGGAAAUCCCAGGUCGUCUACUAGCUGCAGCAAUAAAGAGAAAAGACACCAAUUUACAUCCCCGUUGCAAGUCAAAGCUUGGCCGCUGAAUCACUCUGGCUCAGAAGGUACCGCGCAGAAGCCUCAACAACACCCAUCGUCCAGCCAAUCAACCAUCUCUCCAGCGACCCUCUUUAUUCAUGAUUUCAGUUAUCCUACUGGUGGCGGGGCUUUAAGAAGGGACUCUGUAAUGGCUUCUCACCAGAGCAGCAGCAGCUGGUUGCAUCAUGGAGAUUUCUGGAGUGCUCAGACUAAUGCUGCUCUUCCAUCUGGUAAUUUGAUGCUUGGUUCGCCCAAUUACUUUGAUAUUUCUGGCACCCUCUCAGAACAUUAAUAGAAUUGGGUAUUAUCUGGGAAUUUGGUAUAGAGUUAUAGGAUUUCUUGUGGAUUAAUUUGCUUGAGCCCUACACGUAUGUGUGGAGUUGGAGAUCAAAUGUAUUUACCUCGCGAGGAUGCAUGGUGGUCAUGAUAAUCUUGUUAGACAAUUAACUGCCCCAUGAGCGCAUCAGUCCUGUGGAUCAUUGAUUGCAUUCCGGUAUGCUUGAUCAGUUGAGCAGUGGUGUGGCAAAGAGCAGUUGAUCGGUGUGAAGCAUUUCGGACAUCGGCGUCGUUAUCUUUUUUUAUUUGAUCUUGGAUUUUCGUUCCCCUUCUUUUUGUUGAGAUAUGGAGUUAGAGUUUUGUAAAUAUUGUUGGUUGUUCUUUCAUCGGUUGGCAGUUUCUGUUGUAAAAUUUGCUGCUUCCAAACGAUUGGGCGUUUUUGUGUUUGUGAGGAAUGAAUGCAUUGAAAAUGUAAAGAGUACGCCCGUGCAUGUUCUUUUUUCUAGCGGUUAUUUAUUUUGUUUUAUAGACUUUUA